UUCUCUCUACCUCGUAUGUUCUCGGAGAUCCCAAAUCGAUAACUAAGUUUUCCGAUUCGUUGGCCUAAGUCGGCCGAUGGUCGAAGGUUUCUACGCUCUUCGAGAAGAUUUUUAGUUUCUUUAAGAUAUCGCAUGUCGUAACAGAAUGAUAUGUGGGCAUCAAUUUCGUUUAUUACGCAUGAUAUGAUACGUUAAAUUUUGGCGAUUAGAAUUAAAAAACCGAUAAGAAUUAAAUACAUUGACCGAAUCGAUAAUGUUUGAUAAUAAAAAAAUAAAGAGGAAGAGAUAGAUAUACGUUUCCAAUAUACGUCCCCUUUUCUUCAUUAUUCGAUCACUUACGCAGAAACAUAACAGAUUUAUCUUAAAAGAGGAAUAAAGCAAAAUAUCUCGGAUACUUUCUUGCUUUCCGAUGUCAAUUCCGCUAUCUGUUCGCGAGCGUUACGGAAAAGGUGAGCAGAUCUGCGCACGUGGGAUCUCUUCGAAGAAAUCUGUGUCCGUGUGCGAGGUUGCGUGCGAAAUAACGCGGAUUUCGUGCCACGCGUUUGUAACGCGGGGGAGGGGGGGGGGGAGGGAGAGAGAAUGGGAGGAGCUCCGCUUUCUGUUCUCAAUGACGAUAUAUCGAUGCGGGCACGGGAAAGCGUCUUACGGGACGGUACUUGCAAAAUUGUGUGUUGCGAUAUUCACAAUUAUGCGUCUUCGUACGACAAAGAACACGGCCCGUUUGUCAAUAUUUCAAACGACAGAGCCGUGCACUGAUUUCACAAGGUGCGUGCGGAAUAGGGACAAAGGUGAGGAUCGAAUGGAGGUAGGAUAGGAAGAGGAGGAGAGCAAAGAGAGACAACGGAGAAGCGUGAAAGAUAAAGCGGGAUACAGAACGAAUAGGGUUGCUUCACUCUGUAUCAACUAUGCACCCUUAUCAAUUGGAAAAUUGGUAUGUGCAAUGGGAACGGAAGAGGAGGGGAAAGGCUGUAUCGUACGAAUGAGGGUGAUGGUAUAAGGACGGAGAGCGCGAGACAAGAAGGGAAGGGAGGACCAGUGCCGGAUUUACCGUUAAGCCACCUUCGCGAGCCCGGUUAACGUUGAAAGCCACCACAUAAAUGGUGGAAUAAGGUUCCUAGGAAUUAAAAUCCGUCAUUGGAGAAAAGGUAGAUAAAGAAUGAGAAGAUAGAAAGAGAGAAAAAGUUUGUUAGGUUUGUGUUUUCGGGAGAGCCAUAGAGGUGAAAAGAUAUCUUUGAGUAACACUUAUUUCACUGCUUAUUGGACGCGAGGAAUGACGAGUAACGAGCGACAUCCAAUGAAAGUUUUGCUUUUUCUCACGUGACGAUGUAAAACUGAGCUCUCAUUGGAUAUCGUUGCUCAUUGCUCAUCGCGUUCAGUGUGGAGUAGGCAUAAAGCGAUUGGCGAUAUAACCUGAAAUUUUUCUUGCUAGCAGCACGUUCGCCGACGAGUGACAUCAAAGAUGUUACCGUGUCGACGACCCGCAUCGUCUAUGCACCCUUGUGAAUUGGAAAAUUCCGCGUUCGCUAGCGAAGAGACACGGAGAAGAGAGUACAUAUAAAAGACAGGGACGUAUCUAGCAAGCGACUGGAAAAGAGACGAAGAGAGAGCUAAGAGGAAAAGGAAGAACUAACAUAUGUAAAAGGCGCAGAAGAAAAAAUGGAGUAUUACAAACUUUCCUUACGGAAAGACGUACUCCAAAUUCUGUGGCAAAAAUUCAGAAUGCAAAAAGGGGGACUCGCAGGCAUUUAUAUCUCGAAAGAGAACGAGAGAAAGGAACAAAGGGGGUGGGAGUAUAUAGAAAAAGGAGAAAGAUAGAGCGAAGAUUGAUAAGGUUGUGCAAGGCGCAUGCGUUACUCGGGCGUUGUGGGCGUCGGAAACGUGUUGACACACGAGAGAAACCAAGAACGAAAAAGAGGAAGUCGGAAGGGAAGGAGAGAGAUAGAGCGUCGCGUGUGUAGCCAUAGAGCUCUAAUGCCAGAACGUCAGAUCGCCCGUAUAUAUUAUAUGUACCGUCUCUCGAUGCGGUUCCCAAGCUGCGGAUCCCGCUCUAUCGUUGCUGUCGGUCCUCAUGAGAGCCACCCAGCGGCGUCGCGCGUUGCCAUAACCACCGUACAACGAAUGGAGAUGCGCGAUCGUGGAGAUCCACGUUCGAUCGAUCGCGACGGGCGACAGGCUAAUAAGGGGGAAAUUAUUGUGCGAGUUUAGAGCGGUGUGCUCUCUCGUCCAGCAGCGAAUCGCCCAGGGCCGAGCAUCGGAUCGCGGAAUCCCUCUUUGUCGUAACGUAUCACAAAACUAAAAAAAAAAACAUAAAGAAGAAAUAUGUACGCUCCGAUGCAACCGAAACACUUAGGACAUUGCAAUUAAUUCUAAUUGAGAAUUCAGUUUCAUAAAUGC